GAUACCCGAAAAUGUGUGUGGAGGAAAAGUUAAAUGUUAAAUUUGAACUCAAUUGAACAUGGACACAAACAAUGGUCACCAAGUCCUGGAACAGGUUGUGUGAGCCCCUUGAGACGUUCAUCCACUGCUGUUUCAGAGAAAUCUCCAUUUCAAUCUAUUCCUAUACAUUGAAAAACGAUAGACAAUUGCAAAAACAAGUUGACCUUUUUAUAUUCCUUGAGCCCAGUCGUGAAGGGCCCUCGUGACUGGGCCUCAUGCCAAACAACUCGUUACAAAAAGAGCUAGGGUCCCAGACUGCACCAAACCUUCAUGAGACCUCUCCUAUUCUGUGCCGCAGAUGAGUGGCCAACUCUGGAGCCCAGGCUGUUGCUUCCCAGUCUGAUGGUGAAUCCUCCAUGGUCUGGUGAGUGAAGUGUCUGACUCUGGAGCCCAGGCUGUUGCUUCUGACUCUGGAGCCCAGACUGUUGCUUCCCAGUCUGGUGGUGAAUCCUCCAUAAUCUGAGCUGGCCCUCUGGUGCCCAAAGCAGACUCCUGGGGUCCCUGUAUUGGGCUCUUAGCCACUUCCUGCUGGCCACAGGAUGACACCUGAUGCUCCUGGAGCAGCCAACUGGAUUCCAGAAGAAAGGCUUCAGUGACAUGUUUUCCAGAAGGAACCUGGCUCCUAGGAUUAACAGUUGGGUCAAAUCUCAAAAAUUCUUUGCCCUUAACUACAGAAAACUGCCAGCAUCUAUAGUGGUCAUAGUCACAAGAUUUCCUUUAACUUUUCAGCAAGUGUUUUCCUAAAGCAUUCUGUAAAGUCUGGCUUGAAGUUUGUGUAGUUGAGAUAAAAAUGUGUUUGACUGCACUCCAGCCUGAGAGACAGAGUGACAUACUGUCUCAAAAAUAAAUAAGUAAAUAAAUAAAUAAAUAAGUUUUUUAAAAC